rnacentral:rRNA from 1 species
UGGGGAAUCUUGCGCAAUGGGCGAAAGCCUGACGCAGCGACGCCGCGUGAGUGAUGAAGGCCUUCGGGUUGUAAGCUCUGUGGGGAGAGACGAAUAAGUGCAGCCUAAUACGUUGCAUGAUGACGGUAUCUCCUUAGCAAGCACCGGCUAACUCUGUGCCAGCAGCCGCGGUAAGACAGAGGGUGCAAACGUUAGUUCGGAAUUACUGGGCGUAAAGCGUGUGUAGGCGGUCUACUAAGUCGGGUGUGAAAGCCCUGGGCUCAACCCAGGAAGUGCACUCGAAACUGGCAGGCUAGAGUACUGGAGAGGUUGGUGGAAUUCUCGGUGUAGAGGUGAAAUUUCGUAGAUAUCGAGAGGAACACCGGUGGCGAAGGCGGCCAACUGGACAGAUACUGACGCUGAGACACGAAAGCGUGGGGAGCAAACAGGAUUAGAUACCCUGGUAGUCCACGCCGUAAACG